GCCAGCGGGAGUGUGAAGGUGCAGCACAUUAUAAAAGUGUCAUUAAGCUGCCAUUAACACCCUUUAAAGGAAGACUACAAAAACAGAACAAGGGGCACAGCGUGUCUGCGGUAUCGUUGUGUUCCGGAUAGGAUAUCAUCUUAUACUGUAAGUUUGCUAUAUCGACACUACAGUAUAGAUGAUGUACUACCCAGGGCUUCAUUCAGCAGCGUCAGUGCAGCGCAGUGCGGAGGAAACAGAGAGGCGGCGAUGAUCUCAGGGAGUUGUGAUCAAACCGUUACCAUUACUGAGCUUUAGUAAUGGUAAGGGUUACUUUGCUUCUUCUCACAGCGACGGCAUGACAAAGUCCUGAUACCUGCGUUAUCUGUUUCCAUUCCUAAUUUUGCUGAAAUUGUGUUUUUUUUUUUUAUGAAUGUAUUAAACUUCGGUGGACAUGGCUAACGUUGAUUCAUUAGCUGUAGUUUAUUUUACAAUCCAGUUUUCAGUCUAUUUUGGUCAUUAAUAACAGGGGGGUAGAAAAGCUUUAGGCAUGUUUUUCAAAUAGGAGUUGGCUACGACUUACAAUGCAAGAAACUUACUCUGUACGGAAUAAAAACUUUUCAAACAUUA